GGUCAGGGCGGGAGUCGGAGAGCGCGCCCGGCGCAGCAGCGAGACGUGUGUCUGUGGAUUUCGGGCUGCGAUGGCGAGUAGGGAGCUAUGUCUCCUACUUGUGCUGGAAGCCGUUUCUCGCGCUCAUUCUCUGUAACUGGAGGAGGAGGGGUGGCCUUUAGGGUUCGCCUUGAUCGGAGGGGUCCGGUUCCCGCGCUCCCGCCCGGGCCGCAUAAUCUCGCCCAGCACCUUUUCUUCCUUCUUGGUUAUGGCUUGACGAACCCUUAAGGACUCGUCGGCCAACGUUGUGGCACAUUCCUGAAAAGGACGAGGACCCUUUACCCGAGGGGAGUAAAGACAGUACUUGGAAGAUGACGGGUCUAGUCAUCCUUGCACAAGGAAAGCCUUCUGCGCGCUUUGGCGUCUGUACAUGUUGGGACUCCUCAGGCACUGAAAUACUGAAGUCCAGCUCAUUCUCAGUCUCUUGAAAACUGUGUUCACUGUUGGACAGUACUGGCACAGAUCCAAAUCUCCACUUGAAUAUUGAGGAACUCAACAAAGAAUUUAUGGUGAAAAGUGAAGAGCUCUACCAAUCUCUCAUGAAUAGCCACUGGCAGCCUCUCGAUACGGUAUACUCAGAAAUCCCAGACAAGACCCCCCAAGAGCAAGAUGCUGAUUAAGCUACCAAUUAUCAUAUUCAUUGUGUCUUAUUUUGUUUUUGUUUAAAAAGUUCUCGCAGAAAGGCACUGGAUUGUGUGUAUAAAUACAGAUUCUUGAGGGAGUGUCAUGUAAAUAAACGUUGCCAGCACGUUCA
rnacentral:misc_RNA from 1 species